rnacentral:misc_RNA from 1 species
AAGGAUCAUUAUUGAAAUAAAUCUGAUAAGUUGCUGCUGGUUCUCUAGGGAGCAAUGUGCACACUUGUCAUCUUUGUAUCUUCACCUGUGCACCUUUUGUAGACCUGAGUAUCUCUCUGAAUUGCUUAUAUAGCAUUCAGGAUUGAGAAUUGACUUCUUGUCUCUUCUUAUAUUUUCAGGUCUAUGUUUCUUCAUAUACCCCAAUGUAUGUUUAUAGAAUGUAAUUAAUGGGCCUUUGUGCCUAUAAACCUUUACAACUUUCAGCAACGGAUCUCUUGGCUCUC